AACGAACGCUGGCGGCAUGCCUAACACAUGCAAGUCGAACGAGACCUUCGGGUCUAGUGGCGCACGGGUUCGUAACGCGUGGGAACCUGCCCUUAUGUUCGGAAUAACUCCCCGAAAGGGGUACUAAUACCGGAUAAUGUCUUCGGACCAAAGAUUUAUCGCCUUUGGAUGGGCCCGCGUUGGAUUAGCUAGUUGGUAGGGUAAAAGCCUACCAAGGCGACGAUCCAUAGCUGGGCUGAGAGGAUGAUCAGCCACACUGGGACUGAGACACGGCCCAGACUCCUACGGGAGGCAGCAGUGGGGAAUAUUGGACAAUGGGCGAAAGCAUGAUCCAGCAAUGCCGCGUGAGUGAUGAAGGCCUUAGGGUUGUAAAGCUCUUUUACCCGGGAUGAUAAUGACAGUACCGGGAGAAUAAGCUCCGGCUAACUCCGUG
rnacentral:rRNA from 1 species